rnacentral:lncRNA from 1 species
AAGAUUAUUCGUAUGAGGAAAAUACGACGACGGUAAAAAUGGUAAAUUUUAGCUAGUAAAAGGUAAUUUUUAUUCGGGUAUUAUUUUUCGGGGUGUUUUUAUUUUGGAAGAUUGGGUUAUAAGUGGUGUGGACCGGUUUGGGCCAAGCCCAUACAUUUCUCUCCCCUCACUUCUCUCUUUUCCUCCCGAUUCUCUCUCCUCCCACCCGAUUUUCUCCUCCCUCCGCCCGGAAACUUCACCACCGCCGUCCGCCGCCGUCCGGCCACCACCGACCGCCAGACUGGUCCCGUUCGGACCCUUGCCUCUUCCUCUCUCAUCCUGGACCGGUGCACGCGCGCGGAACGCCGCCGUGAAGGAGCGGUCAACCCCGAAAGGUUCGACUGCCGGAAAGGGUUUUUCGCCGGAGCUCCGUCUUCCGGCCACCAUAGGUCGUGAUUUUUUGCUCAACUUGUAGCCCUCAUCUAGGUGAGUAAUCCCUCAAAAAAGGAUUCGGCUAAAUUCGAUUUCGUUAGGGUGGUUUGUAUAAUUGGAUGAGUUUUGGAUAGGUUUACGAAUUUCCGAAGUUUGGUAUUUUUGGCGGUUAAUUAAUGUAGAAUCCGGCCGUAGGAUUUAAGUCGUAUUUUGGAGAGGUUGUAUUUACGACUGUUGAGUAUGAUAUUUAAGUUCGGAUCGUUCCGAUUUAAGAAUAUCGAAGUUAGGCAAUAAUGAGCAUAUUUAUGGCUCUCGGGUAAUUUUGCCUAUUUUGAUUAAAUAUUGGAUUAUUGGUUGGGAAAUUAAUAUUAUAUUUGGAACAGGACGUGAGGAGGCUCGAGCAGACGAGGCCCCAGAUCGACAUCAGGCUUAGGCCAAAUUUGUGAGUGGACGUUUAUUUUAAAUAAAUGCAUGCUAUAGUUCAUGGUUGAACAAUUAAUGUCGUAGAGUAUUUUGACGUCAUUUUAAUUUUUGACGAUUUUUAUUUCUCUUGGAGAGAUACCGAAAAUGGGAUUUUCGGUGGAUAUAAAUAUGUAUUUAUGAGAGAGUAUGUAUAGAAAAUGCUAGCUAGCCAUAUGUGUCUGUCCACCUUAAUGGCGUAGCAUAUAGCCGCAUUAUGGUGUGACGUGAGCGUUGGACGUAAGCGUAGUAGCCCUAUUUGAGUGUUUAAUUCAUAUAGGGGGUAUGGACACAUAUUUAUACACCCGUCUGUCCACCUUGAUGGCAUAGUGUAGCA